rnacentral:rRNA from 1 species
UGUGUAGAGAAUCUGCCCUGUACUGGGGGACAACAGAGGGAAACUUCUGCUAAUACCCCAUAUGAGCGUACCUGCGAUGGUAUUCUUGAAAGUUCCGGCGGUACAGGAUGAGUCUGCAUCUGAUUAGCUAGUUGGUGGUGUAAUGGACUACCAAGGCGACGAUCAGUAGCUGGUUUGAGAGGAUGAUCAGCCACAAUGGGACUGAGACACGGCCCAAACUCCUACGGAAGGCAGCAG